rnacentral:rRNA from 1 species
GAUGAACGCUGGCUACAGGCUUAACACAUGCAAGUCGAGGGGAAACGACGGGGAAGCUUGCUUCCCCGGGCGUCGACCGGCGCACGGGUGAGUAACGCGUAUCCAACCUGCCUCUGACUGAGGGAUAACCCGUCGAAAGUCGGCCUAAUACCUCAUGGUAUCGUCUGCGGGCAUCCAACGACGAUUAAAGAUUUCAUCGGUCAGGGAUGGGGAUGCGUCUGAUUAGCUUGUUGGCGGGGUAACGGCCCACCAAGGCUACGAUCAGUAGGGGUUCUGAGAGGAAGGUCCCCCACAUUGGAACUGGGACACGGUCCAAACUCCUACGGGAGGCAGCAGUGAGGAAUAUUGGUCAAGGGGCGAGAGCCUGAACCGGCCAAGUAGCGUGCAGGAAGACGGCCCUAUGGGUUGUAAACUGCUUUUAUGCGGGGAUAAAGUGAGGGACGUGUCCCUCAUUGCAGGUACCGCAUGAAUAAGGACCGGCUAAUUCCGUG